GGUCGAUUAGCUCAGUCGGUUAGAGCGUGGUGCUAAUAGACUGUGACACUGAUCGGUCUUGGAGACGCCAAGGUCGCGAGUUCGACCCUCGUAUUGACCA